GAGGGUAUAGCUCAAGUGGUAGAGUGCAUGCUUAGCAUGCACAAGGUCCUGGGUUCAAUUCCCAGUACCUCCU
rfam:Camelus ferus unplaced genomic scaffold scaffold2519, whole genome shotgun sequence.